AGCUGUCCCUGCCCCUCAUCAUCUGCAGAAUUCAGGAGAGCGGGCCCUGAACCUUGCCUGGGCAGCACAGAAACGCUGACCCUGGUGGUAUGGACGUAGCCGAGCAUGACUGAGGAUGUGAGAGCAGGAGAGCUGCCCCUGCCCCGCCAGCUGCAGCACUGGGUGAACUAGCUGAGGCAGUGUUGGAAGGCUCACCCAGGUGGCGUGGGCACAGGAGAGCUGGCGGCUGGCAACUCAGCUACCUCCCAGUCCCAGUGCCAGGACUUUGAGCUGGCCCACCCCAACAUCUGUCUCCUCUGUGAUCUGCUGGAGCGUGUGAAAGAGCUGGUGCUACAGAUCCAAAGCUGCAGGCUCUCCAUGACACAGGGCAACAACAGGAUAUCUGAGGGGAAUUUUGUGAGGAUCCAGUAUUGAUAGUGUAGCAGAAGCCGGAAGCCUCAAACCAGACCAAUGGCUCAUUGCAAUGAACAUCCGCAACUGUGGCUUUCUCAGUUGUAUUGAAGUUUCUGGACUCCCAUCAGUGGGAAAGGCAAAUUGGCUUCCAGGCUGAACAUCUUUCCGAUCUUCCCUCGACAUUUACAUUUUCUUGGUGUUUCUAUCCUACUCAGAAGUAUUUGCUUCCACAGAAGCCUGUGUAUGGAUGUUUAUAGUGGACACGUUCAUAAAGAUGUAGUGUUUGAGAGUGAUGGGACUUCCUCUGCCCUGGGUUUCUCUGUAUAGCACUGGCCGUCCCAGAACUAGCUUUGUAGACAAGACUGGCCUGGAACUCACAGAGAUCUGUCUGCCUCUGUCUCCUGAGUGCUGGGACUGAAGAUAUGCACCACCACCUCUAAGUUACAGGUCUGUUAUCAAAAUUAAAUGAGAUUGGGUUCUGAGACACUGGCUCAGAGAGAAAACAUUUAUUGACCUUCCACCGUGUAAGUCCCUGACAGUGAACUUUGCCCUGGUGCUAGAAAGAUAAAGGCUGAUGUUCCACCUUCAAGAAACCCACAAACGAAGGACUGGUGGUUUACGCAGAGGCUUCAACACUGAUAAGUGACACCAUGCAGGGAAAGCGUGGUUCUAAAUCUAAGGUCAAAGUCUUGGAACUAAGACGUCUAAAUUAAAAUACGAUUCUGACUGCAAGCUUCUACGUGAAAAUUUGGAAUUUAUAACAGGAACAAAGAUACAGAACAAAGUUUGCGUCUGGUGGAGUGAGGACAAAAAUAAUCAGCCUGAGAGUGAAUGGUGUUCACAGUGCAUUUAGGUGCCCAAGGAAACCCAUUGUUCAUUGUUGUGAGUCUUCUACUUUGGGGUAUAUUAUGAAGUCCUACUGGUAUUAUGAUCCUUGAUUCUGUUUUGACAGUUUUGUCUGUACUGCUUGAUUUUAUUUUCUUUAAGACAUUAUGUAGCUAUGUAAGAAUUCCUUUUGUCACGGGAGCUCCUUCUGAGAGACGGCUGGGUCCAACCUCGAACCUACUUACUGUGUAAGGUGGCUCUCACAGGAAUCUCUUGAGAGGUCAGCUCUGGCCUCAGCUUUCCUGGAAAUAAACGGCUUCUACAUUGUCCAUAAAUGUUCUCGGAGAUGACUCAAUGUAAAGUACGUUUUUAUUAUCUGUAAUGACGUGCAGGUGAGUGUGGGUACAGGUUCCCAAGCAGGCUAGAUACUGUGUCCCCAGGAGCUGGGGCUGCCUGAUGUAGGUGCUGGAAAGAGGUCCCCUGGAGCCUCGGCAAGUGCUCCUAACCAUUGAGACAUCUCUCCAG